rnacentral:misc_RNA from 1 species
UCAACGGUACCGGACCGAAGGGAGGAUAAGGAGUACUCACUUCA